GUGAGACCUUGUUUUAUGUACAUUCAAUUAUUCUAUUUUGUAUUUAUUAGGAUGUGUCAAGAUGAACUCAAACAAUGGAACAUUUUAUAUAAUUUCUGUACUUGUUGGAUGGGCUGAAGCAUUCAUAAUGUGUCUCCAUAUCUUGUUAUGCCAAGCUUAGGACUGAUGUCAUCAUUAAUAAGUCUUAGAUUCAAGCAAGUUCAAGUCGUAUUUACCUCUUCAUAUUUGAGUGAAAAGACAUCAAGAUCACAUUACAAACAUUGUUCUUUUUUAAUAAAAAUAAUUUUCAUAAAUUGUCUUACAAAUGCAGCGAAUGAACAGCAAUAUACGGCAGCGUAUUAUAAUGCAAACACAAUUGAAGUCCAUAUGAACUGAUGGCAAAUCAUUCUACACAUCUAUCAAUGCUAUGCAGCAACAGAAAUGUCAAAGCUGUCUAUAGGGAAGAUCAUUUUGAUCCAGGAAAAGAGAAUUUUUACACAUUGGCUCACUACAGAAGUUGGAUUAUAAUGAAGAAUUUUUUCAAGUGUGUUAGCAGUCUAAAUCUGAUUGUUGUUUGGCAUCAAUAGGUAGACAUGCACAAUUGCUUGUUAUAAAAAAUUAAAGUGCUAAAUUUGGUUGAACAACUGCAGAGAUAUUCAGGUAAACAUGCUUUAUGCAUACUUAAUAAGGGGGUGGGGCUGAAGGUUUUUAGCUGAAAACUCCAAGGUUUUACAUCACAAGUCCAAAAAA